UCUUCUGAGGGUCCCCUGCUUUUCUUGAU
rnacentral:piRNA from 1 species